UACGGGGGGGGCAAGCGUUAUUCGGAAUUACUGGGCGUAAAGGGCUCGUAGGCGGCCAACUAAGUCAGACGUGAAAUCCCUCGGCUUAACCGGGGAACUGCGUCUGAUACUGGAUGGCUUGAGUAUGGGAGAGGGAUGCGGAAUUCCAGGUGUAGCGGUGAAAUGCGUAGAUAUCUGGAGGAACACCGGUGGCGAAGGCGGCAUCCUGGACCAUUACUGACGCUGAGGAGCGAAAGCCAGGGGAGCAAACGGG
rnacentral:rRNA from 1 species